UGGAAAGCAUUCAAGAUUGAAGGAAUCAAUUAGAGAAGAUCAAGGAAAGCAUCCAAAAUUGAAGGAAUCAAUGAUAGUGCCCAACACUGACGGAAUCAAUUAAGGCUAUACUGAAGAGAUUAAUCAAUCAAGAGUAUCAAAAAUCUUGCAAGAUAAUCAAUCAAGUAUACUAAAUCUGGAAGGACCAAGAUUCAAGGAAGGAUAUCCGCGCUAUCAAGUCAUGUAUAAGGAAAGUCAUUAAAGCUCACUCGUCCAGGCAAAGCGGUUGCUAAAUAACCUUAUUCUUGAAAAGAAUCAAUCUCUUUCUGAGGAUCAAAUCUCUUGGGUUGACAACUCUCUUUAGAAAUCAAGUCUCUCUCAAAGUAUUUAAACUCGUCUAUGUACCCACAUGUACUUUAACCGAACCAAAUACUCUCUCUUUGUUCUACUGCAAACAAACAUUGUAGCUCUAUUAUGUGUAAUAAGUUAGAGAAGAAAGAG
rnacentral:lncRNA from 1 species